rnacentral:rRNA from 1 species
GAAGUGUGGACGCCAGUCUGCAUGGAGCCGACCUUGAAAUACCACCCUUUAAUGUUUGAUGUUCUAACGUUGACCCGUGAUCCGGGUUGCGGACAGUGUCUGGUGGGUAGUUUGACUGGGGCGGUCUCCUCCUAAAGAGUAACGGAGGAGCACGAAGGUUGGCUAAUCCUGGUCGGACAUCAGGAGGUUAGUGCAAUGGCAUAAGCCAGCUUGACUGCGAGCGUGACGGCGCGAGCAGGUGCGAAAGCAGGUCAUAGUGAUCCGGUGGUUCUGAAUGGAAGGGCCAUCGCUCAACGGAUAAAAGGUACUCCGGGGAUAACAGGCUGAUACCGCCCAAGAGUUCAUAUCGACGGCGGUGUUUGGCACCUCGAUGUCGGCUCAUCACAUCCUGGGGCUGAAGUAGGUCCCAAGGGUAUGGCUGUUCGCCAUUUAAAGUGGUACGCGAGCUGGGUUUAGAACGUCGUGAGACAGUUCGGUCCCUA